UGUUUCGGCUAGGGGGCCAUCCCGGCUUACCAACCCGAUGCAAACUGCGAAUACCGGAGAAUGUUAUCACGGGAGACACACGGCGGGUGCUAACGUCCGUCGUGAAGAGGGAAACAACCCAGACCGCCAGCUAAGGUCCCAAAGUCAUGGUUAAGUGGGAAACGAUGUGGGAAGGCCCAGACAGCCAGGAUGUUGGCUUAGAAGCAGCCAUCAUUUAAAGAAAGCGUAAUAGCUCACUGGUCGAGUCGGCCUGCGCGGAAGAUGUAACGGGGCUAAACCAUGCACCGAAGCUGCGGCAGCGAACGUAUCACCCAAGACAACUUUACGGAGUUGACGAUUGACGGAGCGAAGCGACGUCAAAGCGUUCAUUAAAGUCGAGUUGGCUUAGGGAUACGUUCGUUGGGUAGGGGAGCGUUCUGUAAGCCUGCGAAGGUGGCCUGUGAGGGUUGCUGGAGGUAUCAGAAGUGCGAAUGCUG
rnacentral:rRNA from 1 species